rnacentral:misc_RNA from 1 species
GUUUGCGUAUCACCGAUGAGAUAAUCUGAUAGAGGGAAAGGAAGUUGCUCGCAUCCGAAUGCAUAGACAGGCUCUCUCUUCGGUCUGCAGGUGCAGUGCUCUCAAGUGUUAUGUAGGCGCAAUCGCGUACCUAUGCUGGACCUCGCCGAAACAGCGCAGUUCUCCUUCCAGACAGGUCCGGAGAGGAUUCGAAAGUACGCCAGGCUAUUCGGCGUAGUUACCAACGUCAUCAUUUGCUUCGUACACUUUCAGGCCGCCGUGAUAUACAUCUUAUACGUGGCCACGUCAUUCCAACAGGUGAUUGAAUUUUUCUCAAACUUCGAGAUGAAUCCACGAGUUUACAUCGUCAUUUUUUUCCCGUUCACCUGUGCUCUGGGUUUCGUGCCGAACCUGAAAUAUUUAGCGCCGUUCUCCAUUAUUGGCACUCUCUUCUUGAGCCUCGGUAUCUGCAUCGCAUUCUAUUAUUUUUUCGACGAUGUUCCGGAUCCUCGUAGAUUAAACGUUUUGACGGAAAUUCUUCCUGUGCCCAUGUAUUGCACUAUUUUUCUAUUCGCUUUACAUAAUAUGACCCUUUAUCUGCCAUUGGAAAAUACGAUGAAACAUCCCGAUCAUAUGCCACACCUAAUUGUUGGCAGCACAUUGCUAAACACCGUUAUAUACCUGAUUUUUGGUUUUUCCGGUUACAACAAGUAUCCGAAUGCCUGCGACACCGUCAUCAAGAACUUGCCAAUGGAAGAAACCCUGGCACAGGUAGUCAAGAUAGCCAUUUCUUUAUCGGUGCUGUUUACUUUGGGGUUGGCAUACUACGUUCCAAUCAGCGUGCUGUGGCCGAUGAUUCGCUCGAGAAUCGUCACGAAGAGUUCGCUAUAUCAUCGGUUGUACGAAACCUCGCUCCGGUUAAGCGGCAUAAUCGGAACCACACUGCUGGCCAUCGCCGUGCCCCAAAUGGUACCUUUAUUGGGCCUGUUGUCCGCCUUGGGCAUAUCGACGAUCAUGCUGCUGAUACCCAUACUAAUCGAAAUGUCGACUAAGUGGGCGGAAGCCACGAGGCCGAUGUUCGCGAAGAACAUUGUUAUUUUCAUCGUGUGGCUGCUAAUCUUGAUUUUCGGAACGAUAGAAAGCACACGGUCAAUUAUUAGAGAAUAUAGUGGGAUAAAACAAGAAGAAUGCUGAUCGAUAGCCUGUGACUUAACAGACUUUUAUUAAUAUAAAGCUAUAAAGAUGCUGCUGUAUUACACGAAAAAGCUUGAAAAUACUUGAAUAUUGAGAAUGCAAAGAAUCACGUAACAAGCCAUGAAAGAAGUUUUUAACGCAGCAAAGCAAAAGGAUGAAGCAAAUAAAGUAUAUCGGAGAUUAUUUAUUCCUUCUUUCGACUAAGACUUGUCUGUGGAAUGUUUCGCGCGAAAAAAAAUAUAUGUUUUACUCAAUUUGCUUUCAUGACACGAGCGUAUUGGUCAAUUUACGACUUGGUUUCCUCGAUUCUAAGUACGUGAAAUAUGAUUACAUAAUUGAUAUGGAUAUCGACGAUCUUUUAUUCUCGUAAAAACUAAAACUUGUGACAUUUACAUUCCGGCCGGACACCUUCAAUUUACGCUUAAGCCAGUGUUUACGUAAAGCACGUGACAAGACGGUUUUAUGUCGUUUGCAAUGUGAAAACAAGAGCGGCAGCUUACAAUGAGAAACUGCAUUGCAAUGUAGCAAUCAAAGAUCGAAAGGAGGUGGUAGGGCGUCAGAGACCUUCUUGCAAGGAGACGAAAGAGAGAUAGCGAAAGAGCUCGUGCUAUGAAUGAAAGAAGAUGAGGAUAAGGUGAAAGGGAACAUGUACGAGAUUCAGAGGCGCGAAUCGAGUUGAUCGCAGUCGAAUAACCGACGUUCCUACGAAAGGGGAAUUUCCCGUGUGCGAAUAAGUGAUUUAGUAUUCUUCAGGAUUUGACGAAAGUGUCGACGAUUCUCAGAUUCGAGCAGCUCGUCGUUUUUAUCGUUCAUUUUAAAAUGUCAUUAAUUAAUUAAGUAAUUAAGUAAUUAUCAAUUAAUUACGCGGGUGCUAAUGCUUGAAGGAGAAUAAAAGCACAAUGAAAAGCGGAUACAAUUCCAUGAGAUUUAGAAUGUCCAAUUGAGCACAAUAUAGAUCGCCGCUAUCUACUCCCUCUCUUCCUGGUGUAUACGCACGAGCGAGGAAGCUUAUGCUCGGUAGUCACUCACGUGUACAUUGACUGUUCGUAUAUAUACCUGGCUAACGUUGAAGAAACUUGCCCAGUCGUGUGCGG